rnacentral:rRNA from 1 species
UACGAAGGGGUGCAAGCGUUACUCGGAAUUACUGGGCGUAAAGCGUGCGUAGGUGGUUUGUUAAGUCUGAUGUGAAAGCCCUGGGCUCAACCUGGGAAUUGCAUUGGAUACUGGCAGGCUAGAGUGCGGUAGAGGAUGGCGGAAUUCCCGGUGUAGCAGUGAAAUGCGUAGAGAUCGGGAGGAACAUCUGUGGCGAAGGCGGCCAUCUGGACCAGCACUGACACUGAGGCACGAAAGCGUGGGGAGCAAACAGG